GACGAACGCGGCGGCGUGCUAAUACAUGCAAGUAGAACGCUGAAGGAGGAGCUUGCUUCUCUGGAUGAGUUGCGAACGGGUGAGUAACGCGUAGGUAACCUGCCUGGUAGCGGGGGAUAACUAUUGGAAACGAUAGCUAAUACCGCAUAAGAGUAGAUGUUGCAUGACAUUUGCUUAAAAGGUGCAAUUGCAUCACUACCAGAUGGACCUGCGUUGUAUUAGCUAGUUGGUGGGGUAACGGCUCACCAAGGCGACGAUACAUAGCCGACCUGAGAGGGUGAUCGGCCACACUGGGACUGAGACACGGCCCAGACUCCUACGGGAGGCAGCAGUAGGGAAUCUUCGGCAAUGGACGGAAGUCUGACCGAGCAACGCCGCGUGAGUGAAGAAGGUUUUCGGAUCGUAAAGCUCUGUUGUAAGAGAAGAACGAGUGUGAGAGUGGAAAGUUCACACUGUGACGGUAUCUUACCAGAAAGGGACGGCUAACUACGUGCCAGCAGCCGCGGUAAUACGUAGGUGGCAAGCGUUAUCCGGAUUUAUUGGGCGUAAAGAGAGUGCAGGCGGUUUUCUAAGUCUGAUGUGAAAGCCUUCGGCUUAACCGGAGAAGUGCAUCGGAAACUGGAUAACUUGAGUGCAGAAGAGGGUAGUGGAACUCCAUGUGUAGCGGUGGAAUGCGUAGAUAUAUGGAAGAACACCAGUGGCGAAGGCGGCUACCUGGUCUGCAACUGACGCUGAGACUCGAAAGCAUGGGUAGCGAACAGG
rnacentral:rRNA from 1 species